CCUACGGGAGGCAGCAGUGAGGACUAUUGGUCAAUGGACGAGCGUCUGAACCAGCCAAGUAGCGUGAAGGAUGACUGCCCUAUGGGUUGUCAACUUCUUUUAUAUGGGAAUAAAAUGUUCCACGUGUGGGAUUUUGUAUGUACCAUAUGAAUAAGGAUCGGCUAACUCCGUGCCAGCAGCCGCGGUAAUACGGAGGAUCCGAGCGUUAUCCGGAUUGAUUGGGUUUAAAAGGAGGGUAGGUGGGUUGUUAAGUCAGUUGUGAAAGUUUGCGGCUCAACCUGAAAAUUGCCGUUGAAACUGGCAGUCUUGAGUACAGUAGAGGUGGGCGGAAUUCGUGGUGUAGCGGUGAAAUGCUUAGAUAUCACGAAGAACUCCGAUUGCGAAGGCAGCUCACUGGACUGCAACUGACACUGAGGCUCGAAAGUGUGGGUAUCAAACAGGAUUAGAUACCCGAGUAGUC
rnacentral:rRNA from 1 species